rnacentral:rRNA from 1 species
UGAGGAAUAUUGGUCAAUGGGCGAUGGCCUGAACCAGCCAAGUAGCGUGAAGGAUGACUGCCCUAUGGGUUGUAAACUUCUUUUAUAAAGGAAUAAAGUCGGGUAUGCAUACCCGUUUGCAUGUACUUUAUGAAUAAGGAUCGGCUAACUCCGUGCCAGCAGCCGCGGUAAUACGGAGGAUCCGAGCGUUAUCCGGAUUUAUUGGGUUUAAAGGGAGCGUAGAUGGAUGUUUAAGUCAGUUGUGAAAGUUUGCGGCUCAACCGUAAAAUUGCAGUUGAUACUGGAUGUCUUGAGUGCAGUUGAGGCAGGCGGAAUUCGUGGUGUAGCGGUGAAAUGCUUAGAUAUCACGAAGAACUCCGAUUGCGAAGGCAGCCUGCUAAGCUGCAACUGACAUUGAGGCUCGAAAGUGUGGGUAUCAAACAGGAUUAGAUACCCUGGUAGUCCACACGGUAAACGAUGAAUACUCGCUGUUUGCGAUAUACGGCAAGCGGCCAAGCGAAAGCGUUAAGUAUUCCACCUGGGGAGUACGCCGGCAACGGUGAAACUCAAAGGAAUUGACGGGGGCCCGCACAAGCGGAGGAACGUGUGGUUUAAUUCGAUGAUACGCGAGGAACCUUACCCGGGCUUAAAUUGCACUCGAAUGAUCCGGAAACGGUUCAGCUAGCAAUAGCGAGUGUGAAGGUGCUGCAUGGUUGUCGUCAGCUCGUGCCGUGAGGUGUCGGCUUAAGUGCCAUAACGAGCGCAACCCUUGUUGUCAGUUACUAACAGGUGAUGCUGAGGACUCUGACAAGACUGCCAUCGUAAGAUGUGAGGAAGGUGGGGAUGACGUCAAAUCAGCACGGCCCUUACGUCCGGGGCUACACACGUGUUACAAUGGGGGGUACAGAGGGCCGCUACCACGCGAGUGGAUGCCAAUCCCUAAAACCCCUCUCAGUUCGGACUGGAGUCUGCAACCCGACUCCACGAAGCUGGAUUCGCUAGUAAUCGCGCAUCAGCCACGGCGCGGUGAAUACGUUCCC